rnacentral:rRNA from 1 species
UUAAGUUAUUAAGGGCGCACGGUGGAUGCCUUGGCACUAGAAGCCGAUGAAGGACGUUACUAACGACGAUAUGCUUUGGGGAGCUGUAAGUAAGCUUUGAUCCAGAGAUUUCCGAAUGGGGAAACCCAGCAUGAGUUAUGUCAUGUUAUCGAUAUGUGAAUACAUAGCAUAUCAGAAGGCACACCCGGAGAACUGAAACAUCUUAGUACCCGGAGGAAGAGAAAGAAAAUUCGAUUCCCUUAGUAGCGGCGAGCGAAAAGGGGAGAGCCCAAACCAACAAGCUUGCUUGUUGGGGUUGUAGGACACUCUAUACGGAGUUACAAAGGACGACAUUAGACGAAUCAUCUGGAAAGAUGAAUCAAAGAAGGUAAUAAUCCUGUAGUCGAAAAUGUUGUCUCUCUUGAGUGGAUCCUGAGUACGACGGAGCACGUGAAAUUCCGUCGGAAUCUGGGAGGACCAUCUCCUAAGGCUAAAUACUCUCUAGUGACCGAUAGUGAACCAGUACCGUGAGGGAAAGGUGAAAAGCACCCCGGAAGGGGAGUGAAAUAGAACCUGAAACCGUGUGCUUACAAGUAGUCAGAGCCCGUUAAUGGGUGAUGGCGUGCCUUUUGUAGAAUGAACCGGCGAGUUACGAUUUGAUGCAAGGUUAAGCAGUAAAUGUGGAGCCGUAGCGAAAGCGAGUCUGAAUAGGGCGUUUAGUAUUUGGUCGUAGACCCGAAACCAGGUGAUCUACCCUUGGUCAGGUUGAAGUUCAGGUAACACUGAAUGGAGGACCGAACCGACUUACGUUGAAAAGUGAGCGGAUGAACUGAGGGUAGCGGAGAAAUUUCAAUCGAACCUGGAGAUAGCUGGUUCUCUCCGAAAUAGCUUUAGGGCUAGCCUCAAGUGAUGAUUAUUGGAGGUAGAGCACUGUUUGGACGAGGGGCCCCUCUCGGGUUACCGAAUUCAGACAAACUCCGAAUGCCAAUUAAUUUAACUUGGGAGUCAGAACAUGGGUGAUAAGGUCCGUGUUCGAAAGGGAAACAGCCCAGACCACCAGCUAAGGUCCCAAAAUAUAUGUUAAGUGGAAAAGGAUGUGGCGUUGCCCAGACAACUAGGAUGUUGGCUUAGAAGCAGCCAUCAUUUAAAGAGUGCGUAAUAGCUCACUAGUCGAGUGACACUGCGCCGAAAAUGUACCGGGGCUAAACAUAUUACCGAAGCUGUGGAUUGUCCUUUGGACAAUGGUAGGAGAGCGUUCUAAGGGCGUUGAAGCAUGAUCGUAAGGACAUGUGGAGCGCUUAGAAGUGAGAAUGCCGGUGUGAGUAGCGAAAGACGGGUGAGAAUCCCGUCCACCGGUUGACUAAGGUUUCCAGAGGAAGGCGCGUCCGCUCUGGGUUAGUCGGGUCCUAAGCUGAGGCCGACAGGCGUAGGCGAUGGAUAACAGGUUGAUAUUCCUGUACCACCUAUAAUCGUUUUAAUCGAUGGGGGGACGCAGUAGGAUAGGCGAAGCGUGCGAUUGGAUUGCACGUCUAAGCAGUAAGGCUGAGUAUUAGGCAAAUCCGGUACUCGUUAAGGCUGAGCUGUGAUGGGGAGAAGACAUUGUGUCUUCGAGUCGUUGAUUUCACACUGCCGAGAAAAGCCUCUAGAUAGAAAAUAGGUGCCCGUACCGCAAACCGACACAGGUAGUCAAGAUGAGAAUUCUAAGGUGAGCGAGCGAACUCUCGUUAAGGAACUCGGCAAAAUGACCCCGUAACUUCGGGAGAAGGGGUGCUCUUUAGGGUUAACGCCCAGAAGAGCCGCAGUGAAUAGGCCCAAGCGACUGUUUAUCAAAAACACAGGUCUCUGCUAAACCGUAAGGUGAUGUAUAGGGGCUGACGCCUGCCCGGUGCUGGAAGGUUAAGAGGAGUGGUUAGCUUCUGCGAAGCUACGAAUCGAAGCCCCAGUAAACGGCGGCCGUAACUAUAACGGUCCUAAGGUAGCGAAAUUCCUUGUCGGGGAAGUUCCGACCCGCACGAAAGGCGUAACGAUUUGGGCACUGUCUCAACGAGAGACUCGGUGAAAUCAUAGUACCUGUGAAGAUGCAGGUUACCCGCGACAGGACGGAAAGACCCCGUGGAGCUUUACUGUAGCCUGAUAUUGAAAUUCGGCACAGCUUGUACAGGAUAGGUAGGAGCCUUUGAAACGUGAGCGCUAGCUUACGUGGAGGCGCUGGUGGGAUACUACCCUAGCUGUGUUGGCUUUCUAACCCGCACCACUUAUCGUGGUGGGAGACAGUGUCAGGCGGGCAGUUUGACUGGGGCGGUCGCCUCCUAAAAGGUAACGGAGGCGCUCAAAGGUUCCCUCAGAAUGGUUGGAAAUCAUUCAUAGAGUGUAAAGGCAUAAGGGAGCUUGACUGCGAGACCUACAAGUCGAGCAGGGUCGAAAGACGGACUUAGUGAUCCGGUGGUUCCGCAUGGAAGGGCCAUCGCUCAACGGAUAAAAGCUACCCCGGGGAUAACAGGCUUAUCUCCCCCAAGAGUUCACAUCGACGGGGAGGUUUGGCACCUCGAUGUCGGCUCAUCGCAUCCUGGGGCUGUAGUCGGUCCCAAGGGUUGGGCUGUUCGCCCAUUAAAGCGGAACGCGAGCUGGGUUCAGAACGUCGUGAGACAGUUCGGUCCCUAUCCGUCGUGGGCGUAGGAAAUUUGAGAGGAGCUGUCCUUAGUACGAGAGGACCGGGAUGGACAUACCUCUGGUGUACCAGUUGUCGUGCCAACGGCAUAGCUGGGUAGCUAUGUGUGGACGGGAUAAGUGCUGAAAGCAUCUAAGCAUGAAGCCCCCCUCAAGAUGAGAUUUCCCAACUUCGGUUAUAAGAUCCCUCAAAGAUGAUGAGGUUAAUAGGUUCGAGGUGGAAGCAUGGUGACAUGUGGAGCUGACGAAUACUAAUCGAUCGAAGACUUAAUCAA